GAAGCCAUAGCGCAUGCGCUGUGGUAUUACUUUAUCUGCCUAUAGCAGAAUGGCAGAUAUCAUAGCGCAUGCGCUAUGGUUUCUGUAUUCUGCCCAUGGCUUCUGGAUUUUCAAUCUACAUAAAAAUACAUAAUGCAUAGCCACGGGCAUAGGCACAUACAUUCUCCUUGUAGUCGGUCCUUCUAGAAAAGUGAUCAAGAACAAAGAACGGAUUUAUAUUGAUUAACACGCUCAGAGCUCCGCGACUAACAAGACGCAAGCAAACGCGAAUCAAGACGCGUCGAAAGCUAAAUCGGCGCAAGAUCCGAAGACGGAUAGCGAGACGUCGUCGAGUCCGAGGCGAUCACCAGAAAUUGUAAUUUAUUGCAAAAUAAACGCAUCUUCUCAUAAUUUUCGGAGGAGUUCCAGCCUGCAACAUCCGUGUCCAACGUACCCCAGCCGACCGCUAUUGUGAACAAAUUAAGUGAACUGAGCAAAAUUGAUAUCGGUGCAGAAGUAUCCAAAUUGCUUUCUACUCUGAAGGCUCAUAGCUCCGCGACUAACAAGACGCAAGCAAACUCGAAUCAAGACGCGUCGAAAGCUAAA